GUGAGGAAUAUUGGUCAAUGGUCGCAAGACUGAACCAGCCAUGCCGCGUGCAGGAAGACGGUCCUAUGGAUUGUAAACUGCUUUUAUACAGGAAGAAACCCUCCCACGUGUGGGAGCUUGACGGUACUGUAGGAAUAAGGAUCGGCUAACUCCGUGCCAGCAGCCGCGGUAAUACGGAGGAUCCAAGCGUUAUCCGGAAUCAUUGGGUUUAAAGGGUCCGUAGGCGGUCUUAUAAGUCAGUGGUGAAAGCCCAUCGCUCAACGAUGGAACUGCCAUUGAUACUGUAAGACUUGAAUGCUUAGGAAGUAACUAGAAUAUGUAGUGUAGCGGUGAAAUGCUUAGAUAUUACAUGGAAUACCAAUUGCGAAGGCAGGUUACUACUAAGUGAUUGACGCUGAUGGACGAAAGCGUGGGGAGCAAACAGGAUUAGAAACCCCAGUAGUCC
rnacentral:rRNA from 1 species